AUUGAACGCUGGCGGCAGGCUUAACACAUGCAAGUCGAGCGGAGAUGAGGUGCUUGCACCUUAUCUUAGCGGCGGACGGGUGAGUAAUGCUUAGGAAUCUGCCUAUUAGUGGGGGACAACAUUCCGAAAGGAAUGCUAAUACCGCAUACGUCCUACGGGAGAAAGCAGGGGAUCUUCGGACCUUGCGCUAAUAGAUGAGCCUAAGUCGGAUUAGCUAGUUGGUGGGGUAAAGGCCUACCAAGGCGACGAUCUGUAGCGGGUCUGAGAGGAUGAUCCGCCACACUGGGACUGAGACACGGCCCAGACUCCUACGGGAGGCAGCAGUGGGGAAUAUUGGACAAUGGGCGGAAGCCUGAUCCAGCCAUGCCGCGUGUGUGAAGAAGGCCUUUUGGUUGUAAAGCACUUUAAGCGAGGAGGAGGCUACUUAGAUUAAUACUCUAGGAUAGUGGACGUUACUCGCAGAAUAAGCACCGGCUAACUCUGUGCCAGCCGCCGCAGUAAUAC
rnacentral:rRNA from 1 species